AUGACCGACGCGAGUCAAAGUGUAGGAUCUGUUCUUAUCAGCUUAAUAUCUCAAACGGGUGGUAUUUGGAGCCAAGAUUUUUAAGCUUAUUUUUUACAAGUUGGCGGAGUGCUUGAAGCCUGCUUCACCUCCGCCGCGGGUCGGUCCGGUAGUGCACUAUAUAUCUUCACGAUCGGCCCAGGUUUU